rnacentral:rRNA from 1 species
GAUCUUCGGAUCUUUGAGAGCGGCGCACGGGUGCGGAACACGUGUGCAACCUGCCUUUAUCAGGGGGAUAGCCUUUCGAAAGGAAGAUUAAUACCCCAUAAUAUAAUGACUGGCAUCAGUUAUUAUUGAAAACUCCGGUGGAUAGAGAUGGGCACGCGCAAGAUUAGAUAGUUGGUGAGGUAACGGCUCACCAAGUCUGCGAUCUUUAGGGGGCCUGAGAGGGUGAUCCCCCACACUGGUACUGAGACACGGACCAGACUCCUACGGGAGGCAGCAGUGAGGAAUAUUGGACAAUGGGUGAGAGCCUGAUCCAGCCAUCCCGCGUGAAGGACGACGGCCCUAUGGGUUGUAAACUUCUUUUGUAUAGGGAUAAACCUACUCUCGUGAGAGUAGCUGAAGGUACUAUACGAAUAAGCACCGGCUAACUCCGUGCCAGCAGCCGCGGUAAUACGGAGGGUGCAAGCGUUAUCCGGAUUUAUUGGGUUUAAAGGGUCCGUAGGCUGAUUUGUAAGUCAGUGGUGAAAUCUCACAGCUCAACUGUGAAACUGCCAUUGAUACUGCAAGUCUUGAGUGUUGUUGAAGUAGCUGGAAUAAGUAGUGUAGCGGUGAAAUGCAUAGAUAUUACUUAGAACACCAAUUGCGAAGGCAGGUUACUAAGCAACAACUGACGCUGAUGGACGAAAGCGUGGGGAGCGAACAGGAUUAGAUACCCUGGUAGUCCACGCCGUAAACGAUGCUAACUCGUUUUUGGGUUUUCGGAUUCAGAGACUAAGCGAAAGUGAUAAGUUAGCCACCUGGGGAGUACGUUCGCAAGAAUGAAACUCAAAGGAUUUGACGGGGGCCCGCACAAGCGGUGGAUUAUGUGGUUUAAAUUCGAUGAUACGCGAGGAACCUUACCAAGGCUUAAAUGGAAUUGACAGGUUUAGAAUAGACUUUUUCUUC